UGGGGGGGUUAUGGGCUGUCUAUGCGGGGGUAUGGCGGUCUACCCUUGAUGGGGGGGUUAAUUCAAUGAAUGGGGGUUAAGUUGGGAUCUGGGCCCCCUCGUUCUGAUCGGGGCGUAAGUCCUAUAUGAAUGGGGUUAAUUGGGGGUCGGGCCCCUUCGUACAACGAUUUGGGUGGUAGAUCUUAAUGAAUGGGGUUAAUUGGGGUCGGGCUGCUCGUACCUAUGGGUCAUGGCCAUGGGGUCCCUAUGAACAUAUAUAGGGUGGGCAUAGGGUGGCCAUGGGGUCCCUAUGGGACAUAUAUGGGGUGGCUAAUAGGGUACCUAU
rnacentral:lncRNA from 1 species